GACGAACGCUGGCGGCGUGCUUAACACAUGCAAGUCGAACGGUAAGGCCCUUCGGGGUACACGAGUGGCGAACGGGUGAGUAACACGUGGGUGAUCUGCCCUGCACUUCGGGAUAAGCCUGGGAAACUGGGUCUAAUACCGGAUAGGACUCCUGCCUGCAUGGGUGGGGGUGGAAAGCUUUUGCGGUGUGGAUGGGCCCGCGGCCUAUCAGCUUGUUGGGGGGGUGAUGGCCUACCAAGGCGACGACGGGUAGCCGGCCUGAGAGGGUGACCGGCCACACUGGGACUGAGAUACGGCCCAGACUCCUACGGGAGGCAGCAGUGGGGAAUAUUGCACAAUGGGCGCAAGCCUGAUGCAGCGACGCCGCGUGAGGGAUGACGGCCUUCGGGUUGUAAACCUCUUUCAGCACAGACGAAGCGCAAGUGACGGUAUGUGCAGAAGAAGGACCGGCCAACUACGUGCCAGCCGCCGCAGUAA
rnacentral:rRNA from 1 species